CAUAAUAUCAAAUUCAUUCAUAAUUUGAGCUCUGCUCUGAAAUUUGCAAGUACAUCAGUCUCAUCAUAUUGGAGAAAUGACGGCUUAUGGUGCUACGUCUUCUCUUAUGAAUACAAUAAACAAUAUUCUCUGUUGUUCUCGUUUUAGCCUUGAUGAUGAUUGCUCUCAACAAAUCAUACAAAUCGUGAGACGUGAGUUGGAGCCUUGGCAACAAUAUAUUCUGGAAAGAUUGGACAAGACGAGGCCAAGCCGGAGCAGGAAGAAGGUGAAUGCUUUGGAUGGAAGAAUCAAAGAUGCAAUUUGGAAAUUCGAAGACUCAUUGGAAUCCCUUCUCACUCAACAGAUUCCUUCUCAACUCGAAAUUCUUCCAGAGAUAGUCUCCAUUGAUCUGCAGAGUCUGCAACACGAAGCUCUUUCAUUGAUCGAAACGCUCGAGGAUAUGAAGAGGGAGUACAUUUAUGAAGUAGAGAAUAUGCCUCAAGACAAACCCAUUUCCUCCUCAAUUGGUUUCCCUGGAACCAACUCAAAGAUGAUUGGAUUUUCUGACCUAUUUCAACAACUCAAAACCACUCUUUUGGGAGAUCGCAACCGGUUUCGUUUUCGCUGGCUAAAUGGAAUGGCAGGUGUUGGGAAGACAACUCUUGCCAUGCAAAUUUAUAACGAUCAAGAAAUUCAUAGCAAGUUUGAGUGUCGCGCGUGGGUGACCGUAGGCAGAGUACCUCAGCCGUUCAGUCAAAUUUUGCAAGGCAUUCUUGCUCAAUUGUGUGGAAUUACUCAAGGAGACCAAUGGAUAAACUACAGAUUGAAAGAAAGAUUGCGUGGCAAGAAUUGCCUCAUUGUGUUGGAUGAUGUCUGGGACAAAGAAGCUUUGAAUAGAAUGUAUUACUUUAAAGAUAUCCCAAAUGGAUGUAUUCAUGUCUUGCUUACCGGCAGACAUCGAAAAUUGAAGAAUGAUUAUGGGUGCGAUUAUGGGGAUGAGGUGCGUUUCUUGAAUGAAGAUGAAAGUAUGGAACUACUAUGUGAGAAGGUGUUUGGUGAUGAGAUUUGCCCUCCUCAACUUCACAAAGUUGCUGUCAAAAUCGCCAAGCAUUGUGAAGGUCUUCCUCUCUUGAUCGUCACUGUUGCUAGCAUCCUUUCGAUCUCCAAGCAGAAUAGAGACCUGGCCUACUGGAAUGACGUGGCAGAAAGGAGAAAUUCAGUCUUCACGGAUGCAUAUAAUAAAAUAUCAGAGGGUUCAUAUUGGAAUAUAAAAGAUCAUCAUUUUCCGAGUCUUAGGUUUCUUCUAAUUGAAGAAAGUGAUUUGGUGCAAAUGAGAUCAAGAUACGGAAGCUUCCCCGAGCUUAGACACAUAAGCAUGAAUCAUUGCUACAAAUUUAAAAAUAUCCGGAUACCCCAUCUUUUUGACCACGGUACCCUAGAGAUAGAAUUUGAGGACUGCAAUCCUUUAGCUUUGACUUGGGCCAUGGAAGUACAAAUAGGUUAUUGGCAUACGCUUCGUGUUACUUCUACUUCUUCCUUUGACGAGAAACCGACAACUAUCAAAUUUGAAAGGUAUGGAUAUGGUCGAUUUGUGUCCAUUAAUCCGGCCACGGAGGAAUCAAAUGUUGAAGAAAUCACCAAUCGAGGAGAGGAUGACGAAGCUGUCUUGGGCCGUUUACCUGGUACAACUGUAUACAGAAACACAGAGCAGUAUCCCGAAGCUUAUACAUGCAACGGGAUUCUAAUUGUUCGCGUUGAUGCUCCAAUCUAUUUUGCCAAUAUAAGCUACAUCGGAGACAGAUAGGUGACAAUUCUGUCAAACUGAUCAUGUUUGUGUUCUAUUAUAACUUACAUAGACUCGAGUGCUGUUCAAGCUCUAAAAGACUUGUACCACAAAUACGUAUCGCGUAACAUCCAGAUAGCUAUUUCCAAUCCAAACAGAGACGUUCUGCUGAUAAUGACAAAAGCUGAGGUGGUCGAUCUGAUAGGCCGAGAAUGGUUCUUCGUCCGUGUACACGAUGCAGUCCAAGUCUGUCUACAGAAGGUGCAAACCUUAACGAAUUCUUCCACGAGUCAGUCCCCAUUGCUGGAGAAGAAAUCAAGCCUCUUCAACAGGCUACUGAAGCAGAGCUCUGAAGAAGCUGCUCUGUCUCAGCUGGAGUCUGGAACGAGGGAGAUUGCCUCGUCGAGAAACAACACCAGUCAUCUGGAGCCUCUGCUGUCAAAGAAGACCUGAGAAGAGAACAGCGACGGUUUAUUUACGUGGCAAAUGUAUGCAAAUGUCCAAUUUUUUUAGCAUAUAGAGAUGUUGGUUUGGAUGUGUUUAUUUAUUUCAACCUACUUUUCAA